AGUGAACGCUGGCGGUAGGCCUAACACAUGCAAGUCGAACGGCAGCACAGUAAUAGCUUGCUCUUACGGGUGGCGAGUGGCGGACGGGUGCGGAAUACAUCGGAAUCUACUUUUUCGUGGGGGAUAACGUAGGGAAACUUACGCUAAUACCGCAUACGACCUACGGGUGAAAGCAGGGGAUCUUCGGACCUUGCGCGAUUGAAUGAGCCGAUGUCGGGUUAGCUAGUUGGCGGGGUAAAGGCCCACCAAGGCGACGAUCCGUAGCUGGUCUGAGAGGAUGAUCAGCCACACUGGAACUGAGACACGGUCCAGACUCCUACGGGAGGCAGCAGUGGGGAAUAUUGGACAAUGGGCGCAAGCCUGAUCCAGCCAUACCGCGUGGGUGAAGAAGGCCUUCGGGUUGUAAAGCCCUUUUGUUGGGAAAGAAAAGCAGCAGGUUAAUACCCCGCUGUUCUGACGGUACCCAAAGAAUAAGCACCGGCUAACUUCGUG
rnacentral:rRNA from 1 species